UCCUGAAUAACACAAUGCAUAUAAUUAGUUAAGUCAUAAUUAGUUCAUACAAACUACAUCAUCAAAGGUGGAAUCUACAUCACCACUACAUGUACAAAAUCACCAGAUACACAGCCCCCCAUCAAAAACCAAAAAGAAGACAUCGACUGGCCCCCAAGCUGACUCAGAAGAUUCUAGGAAUGUUGGACCCCUCACUCGGG
rnacentral:lncRNA from 1 species